AGCCCGUGAUGGUUUAAGAGUAGUGGACAGAAGGGAUUUCUGAAAAAUUCUGCUGAGGCU
rnacentral:snoRNA from 1 species